rnacentral:misc_RNA from 1 species
AACCAUUCUCACCUGCGGCUAGACCUGCGGAGGGAUCAUUACACAAUACAAUAUGAAGGCUGUCCGCAGCUGGAGUAUUUUAUUACCCUUGUCUUUUGCGCACUUGUUGUUUCCUGGGCGGGUUCGCUCGCCACCAGGACCACCAAAUAAACCUUUUUUAUGCAGUUGCAAUCAGCGUCAGUACAAACAAUGUAAAUCAUUUACAACUUUUAGCAACGGAUCUCAGAUCGGAAGAGCACA